AUACGGAGGGUGCAAGCGUUGUUCGGAAUCACUGGGCGUAAAGGGUGCGUAGGCGGUUUGAUAAGUCUGAUGUAAAAUCCUAUGGCUCAACCAUAGAACUGCAUUGGAAACUGUCAGACUAGAAUACUGAAGGGGCAGAUGGAAUUAGUGGUGUAGGGGUAAAAUCCGUAGAUAUCACUAGGAAUACCGAAAGCGAAAGCGAUCUGCUGGGAAGUUAUUGACGCUGAGGCACGAAAGCGUGGGGAGCAAACGGGAUUAGAAACCCUUGUAGUCC
rnacentral:rRNA from 1 species